rnacentral:rRNA from 1 species
CCUACGGGAGGCAGCAGUAGGGAAUAUUGGGCAAUGGUCGCAAGACUGACCCAGCCAUGCCGCGUGCAGGAAGACGGCCCUCUGGGUUGUAAACUGCUUUUAUCUGGGAAGAAAAAGUCCAUGCGUGGAAAAUUGCCGGUACCAGAUGAAUAAGCACCGGCUAACUCCGUGCCAGCAGCCGCGGUAAUACGGAGGGUGCGAGCGUUAAUCGGAAUUACUGGGCGUAAAGCGUGCGCAGGCGGUUUUGUAAGACAGGUGUGAAAACCCCGGGCUCAACCUGGGAACUGCAUUUGUGACUGCAAGACUAGAGUACGGUAGAGGGGGAUGGAAUUCCGCGUGUAGCAGUGAAAUGCGUAGAUAUGCGGAGGAACACCGAUGGCGAAGGCAAUCCCCUGGACCUGUACUGACGCUCAUGCACGAAAGCGUGGGGAGCAAACAGGAUUAGAUACCCUGGUAGUCCACGCCCUAAACGAUGUCUACUAGUUGUUGGUGGAGUAAAAUCCAUGAGUAACGCAGCUAACGCGUGAAGUAGACCGCCUGGGGAGUACGGUCGCAAGAUUAAAACUCAAAUGAAUUGACGG